AUUGAACGCUGGCGGCAGGCUUAACACAUGCAAGUCGAGCGGAGAUGAGGUGCUUGCACCUUAUCUUAGCGGCGGACGGGUGAGUAAUGCUUAGGAAUCUGCCUACUAGUGGGGGACAACAUUCCGAAAGGAAUGCUAAUACCGCAUACGUCCUACGGGAGAAAGCAGGGGAUCUUCGGACCUUGCGCUAAUAGAUGAGCCUAAGUCGGAUUAGCUAUUUGGUGGGGUAAAGGCCUACCAAGGCGACGAUCUGUAGCGGGUCUGAGAGGAUGAUCCGCCACACUGGGACUGAGACACGGCCCAGACUCCUACGGGAGGCAGCAGUGGGGAAUAUUGGACAAUGGGGGGAACCCCGAUCCAGCCAUGCCGCGUGUGUGAAGAAGGCCUUAUGGUUGUAAAGCACUUUAAGCGAGGAGGAGGCUACUGAGACUAAUACUCUUGGAUAGUGGACGUUACUCGCAGAAUAAGCACCGGCUAACUCUGUGCCAGCAGCCGCGGUAAAAC
rnacentral:rRNA from 1 species